AAUUACCAAUUAUAGGUGCUGAAUUUCAAAUAUGAGAAAGUAAAGGGCCUUUUCAACAUUAUGAUAUUUUUUUCAUCCUGCUGUCCUAUAAAUAAUUGCAUAUGCCUCCCAAGAAUGAAAGAAGCACAGAAAUUUAGGCAGAAGCUGAAACUUCAUUGCUCAAUCAAAAGAAGGGGAAAAGCCAAGGAGAUAAGCAAGCAGUACAGAUUUCUAGCUAUCGGAAAAGGAAAGCUUUGCUUCUUCCCAACAAAGGUAACAAAAAGCAAAUACUGUAUUCUUGUUAUUAUUUUCUCUCUUGUCUAAAAGAAAAUCUAAAGAGUUGGCUUCAUUAUCUAAUAUAUAAUAUGAGACAGAUGUUUCUUUCAAUUAUGUUAUUCUUGUAUGCAUUUAGUGUUGGAUAAGUGUGUUUUUCUUUUAGUAUAUAUUUUAUUUAGAUAACGAGAAAUAUGUCAUUAUAAAUUGUGAGAAAAAGAUAUUUCGCUGUUAAUAUAUUACGGUCAGUAAAAAUUUAAUAAUUUUUAUUCUAAUUAACUAUUGUUAUUAUAUUGGUCGUAUCUAAUAACUUAAGCUUAGAGUUUAAUAAUUUCUAAUUUGAUUGUUUAACCGUGAAAUUAUAAUUUAAGAAGUCACUGAUAUAAUAAAAGUGACAGUAAAAUAACAACAUUUCAAAUUGUUAAGUUCUAAAUUCAUAUUAUUAAACAUUGACAAAAUGAUAAUAAUAGCUGAUCAGAUUGAAGAUGUUUAAAUCUUUACAAUCUUUUGGGAGUCAAAUCUUUUGUACUACGAUAUACAAUCGCAUAUUAUUAUUUAUCUGAAAAAAAAUACACUAAAAAUUGAGUGAAACUGCAUCAUUUUUUUUUUCUUUUUAUAUUUGUUCCUUUUUGUUUUCAUCUCCCGUAGGUUCAAACGUCCUAUUCUGAAUUCUAAUUGGAUAUAGGAUCUUGGAUCGUGGCAAUGGUAUAGCCUAUUUAGUAAUGUUGAAUUUAUGAGGGGCAACGCCACACGAAAUUGGACUUUAUUUUCUUGCAGAAAAGAAAAAACCAUUCGAAUUGGAAAAUUGAUGAACGACCGCCUCAUACAGUUGACAAGGUUAUAAUUAGCAUUAUGUGGUUUGAUAAUGUCUUUCGCCUAAACAAAAGUAAAUAGAGUAUAUGAAAGGUGCAUUGAAUAUGUAUAAACAGCCAAAAUAUUCACUUGACAGAAAAGUC
rnacentral:lncRNA from 1 species